GUGUACUUUGCCAAUAGUUUAGAAUUAGAAUUUAAAAAGUAAUAAUUGUUUUGUUGUUGUUUUAAAAAAAACCAAUAGCAUCACUGUAUUAAUGCAAUACUAAUUACUGCUUACAGCACUUUGCUGCAGCCCAGUAAAAUUCAAUUUUUUUCUUCUGGAUACCCCAGUACUCUGGAUCAGAUGGAGGCAUACGUAGAGACUACUAUGGAAAGAAGAAAAGAGGAAUAGGGAAGGAGGUUCGUUGCAGUUUAAGCAAUUAAAGAUGGAGCUGCAAUAUGACAGGACUGUAACAUGAGAACUGGCCUUUCCAGUUCUUCAAAAACAAAAACAGGAAGCCCAGUGUUGGAUCUUUGUAUUACAAUUAAUGCAUUAUUAAUUGAGUGAAAAAAAUGCUGUCCAUAUUACAUCACUGCUGUGCAAACUACCCUGGCUUUCAGUUU
rnacentral:lncRNA from 1 species